rnacentral:rRNA from 1 species
UACGAAGGGGGCUAGCGUUGCUCGGAAUCACUGGGCGUAAAGCGCACGUAGGCGGACUCUUAAGUCGGGGGUGAAAGCCCAGGGCUCAACCCUGGAACUGCCUUCGAUACUGGGAGUCUUGAGUGUGGAAGAGGUUGGUGGAACUGCGAGUGUAGAGGUGAAAUUCGUAGAUAUUCGCAAGAACACCAGUGGCGAAGGCGGCUGACUGGUCCGGUUCUGACGCUGAGGCGCGAAAGCGGGGGGAGCAAACAGG